CAGCUUACCAUGCAGUCGAGCGGUAACAGGGGGUGCUUGCACCCCGCUGACGAGCGGCGGACGGGUGAGUAAUGCAUAGGAAUCUGCCCAGUAGUGGGGGAUAGCCCGGGGAAACCCGGAUUAAUACCGCAUACGUCCUUCGGGAGAAAGCAGGGGAUCUUCGGACCUUGCGCUAUUGGAUGAGCCUAUGUCGGAUUAGCUAGUUGGUGGGGUAAAGGCCUACCAAGGCGACGAUCCGUAGCUGGUCUGAGAGGAUGAUCAGCCACAUCGGGACUGAGACACGGCCCGAACUCCUACGGGAGGCAGCAGUGGGGAAUAUUGGACAAUGGGGGCAACCCUGAUCCAGCCAUGCCGCGUGUGUGAAGAAGGCUUUCGGGUUGUAAAGCACUUUCAGUGAGGAGGAAAACCUUCUGGUUAAUACCCAUGAGGCUUGACGUUACUCACAGAAGAAGCACCGGCUAACUCCGUGCCAGCAGCCGCGGUAAUACGGAGGGUGCAAGCGUUAAUCGGAAUUACUGGGCGUAAAGCGCGCGUAGGUGGUUUGAUAAGCGAGAUGUGAAAGCCCCGGGCUUAACCUGGGAACGGCAUUUCGAAC
rnacentral:rRNA from 1 species